AGUGGGAUUACUGGGUCAAAUGGUGGUUCCAUUCCAGUUUUUUUUAGGCAUCUUCAUACUGUUUUCCAGAGUGGUUGCACCAAUUUGUAGUCCCACCAGCAAU
rnacentral:pre_miRNA from 1 species